rnacentral:piRNA from 1 species
UGCACCUGAGGAUACUGAAAUCCAACC